rnacentral:lncRNA from 1 species
CGCGUGGUCCCCCUCGUGGCCUGUGAUCCCUCGAGCCUGGUUGUGUCGUGGUGUGUAUGCAUCGUGCAGCUGCCCGUCGCGAAGGGAAAUGCAUGCCCAGAGCCAUGGCGAUGCCGCUGUCCCGUCACGAGCACAAGCAUCCGUGUGUGGUCUGUCUUCCUCGUGGAUUGGUCUGGCAUUUCCAGCGUUCAAAAUGAUCAAAUAAACGGAUUCUCCGAGUUUUGGUGUCUGCCCCGUCCUGCCGUCCCCAGGACACAAGGGGGACUUGCAGGUGUCCCGCCCGCCCGCCCCCGGCCUCUCCUGCUGUGUCUGCGACACCUGCUCUGCGGUGCCUCCCAGGAGGGGCUUGUGGAAAGAGGUGACUGUUGCCGGCAUAGCCAAUGGCCUUGCCCUCCUGCGCCCCUCCAUCCGGGGUUUGACCAACAGGGUAGGAGAGUCUUGUUCCAAGGGAGGACAAGCGACAUCCCGGCCUCUCGUCCUGGCCUCUCCGUGGCUCUCCAUCGCGGUGUGCCUCCAUGGCGGGGCUGUUUGUCUCUGCCCCACCAGCCUCACUUCUCACUGGCUGGAGCCAUGGCCAGGCCAGUGCGGAUGAGCGGAGAUCCAGAUGCCCGGCUCAGGCUGGCCAGGAUGGUCCCCCGGACCGAGAGGGGGCACCACCUCCCCCGCAGGCGUGCGGCUGACAGGGCAGGACGCAGGUUCUUUGGCAAGGAUGGGCACUGCAGUGCCCUCCACACACUCCCCCUGGCUGUGGGCUCCUCUGGGCCUCGGGGGAGCAGGACGGCCCAAGGUCUGGGGUGCAGAGCAGGUGCACAGAACCUGCCUCUGCGGGCCUCCAGCGACAGCAGCUACUGUGUUGCCUUUGGUCAUUGUCCUACCUUCAAGACGCACCUGUCUUUCAGUAGAAAUGCUGAGGCCGUGUGCUCAACUUCGGGGAAGCCCCCACUGCCCGGACCCACCAGCCUCGUGCAGGAGGCCCGUGACCAGGGGUGCACUGGACUGACUCCAGAGAGGCAGCCCUGCUGGGCUUGGGGGAGUUGGACUUGA